CCUACGGGUGGCAGCAGUGGGGAAUAUUGGGCAAUGGAGGCAACUCUGACCCAGCAAUGCCGCGUGAAUGAAGAAGGUCUUCGGAUUGUAAAGUUCUUUAAUCAGGGAGGAAGAAGAUUACGGUACUUGAGGAGUAAGACACGGCAAACUAUGUGCCAGCCGCCGCGGUAAUACGUGGGUGGCGAGCGUUGUACGGAAUGACUGGGCGUAAAGGGAGCGUAGGCGGUCUGUUAAGUUGGCAGUGAAAGCCCGGGUCUCAACCCCGGAACUGCUUUCAAGACUGACGGACUUGAGUGUCAGAGGGGUAAGCAGAAUUCCUAGUGUAGCGGUGGAAUGCGUAGAUAUUAGGAGGAACACCAGUGGCGAAGGCGGCUUACUGGAUUAUAACUGACGCUGAGGCUCGAAAGCGUGGGUAGCAAACAGGAUUAGAUACCCGGGUAGUC
rnacentral:rRNA from 1 species